GUGCUCGCUUUGGCAGCACAUAUACUAAAAUUGGAACGUUACAGAGAUUAGCAUGGCUCCUGCGCAAGGAUGACAUGCAAAUUCGUGAAGCGUUCCAUCGUUUA